UCGAUUGUUUCAUCAUUUCAUUCGUGGAUCAAAAAAAAAGGUCCGCUAUUACGAAGAAAAGUUUGAUCGAAAAUUUAUGUGGCUCAACAAACAUAAUAAAAUAGCAGAUUGAAUUUUUAUAAAAUGGCAUUGAUCAACGUUCUUCAUUGAAUAUGAAAUGAAUGUAAAUACAUUUGAAACGAAUUGACGAAAAGCAAAUAAAAUGUGAAAAAGCCAACGUUUCACAAUCAUCAAAAAUAAUCGUCUAUAUCGUUCAUGUGGAUGGCUCUCAUAUUUUUCAACGAUUAUUAACUGUAUUAUCUGUCGAUGGUUGCUUCAAUGUUUUUUUUUCUUUGACUACAGAGAUAUUACGACGACGACGACGACGAAAAUACGGACUUUUUUUCACUGUGUGUCUGUUUGUGUGUGUGUGUGUAUGUAAUUUCAUCGGACACUUAAAUCCACACAUUGAUCAUUGCCGCUGCUGUUGCUCUUCACUUGUUUUU